rnacentral:lncRNA from 1 species
UUCUCUUUCUCCCUCUUUCUCUCUCCUCUUUCAUGGACGAUGGAACCCAUCGUCGUCCGUGUUUAACUCUUCCUGUUUCUCUUCCUCUCUCUUUUCUUCUUUGUGAUCCCUCAUGACCACACUUCCCUCUUCACUCCUUAUGCUCCCUAUACGCCCACCUACUCCCUGUCCAUGCUCGAGUCCACCUUCUUCUUUUCUUUUUGGUAGUCCUACAUGUCCACCUACUGUCCCCUUCUUUUGUUAUAAUCCCUUACACCCCUAUUAUGCACCCUCGUAUCUCCUUUUUCCUCUCACGAUCCAUGGUCCAACGCGACCACUAUUCCCUAAGCCUUUUUACCCAACGCCGUAUGUACAAUCUACCCCAACGUUUUCGGAGCAAUCAUCCCCGACGCCGUGUUUGCAAACAUAACCCCAAUGCCGUGUCUACAAACAUAAACCCUUCACGACCAAAACCCAUCGCCGUGCACGGCUACAACCUCAUCGCCGUGCGCUUCUUCUUCCUCUCCGCAACCCAUUGCCAAGCUCGAUCUCCACUAGAUCUCCACUAAUGAGCCCCCUCUUUGUCUGCUGCCACAAUCUCUUGUCAGCAGCCUCCAUCCUAGCUCUGUCUCCCCCAAUCUCAGCUAUUGCUUCAUCACCUGCCACGAUCUCUCGUCAGCAGCCUCCAUCCUAGCUCUGUCUCCCCCAAUCUCGGCUAUUGCUUCCAUCACCUGCAGCCACUACCAACCCACCCUCUCGUUGUUCUUUCUCUCUAAAAACCAGCGACCUCCUCUACCGUUGUCUCUCACUCAGGUACCUUUACUAUUUCUCUUUGCUACUCUCUCCAAUAUCUCGGACCCCUACUCAACCCGGCUGUUGCCCCCCUUUCCACCAUUCUUCGCCCUCAUCUCAGCCACCUCUCUGUACUCCUCCAUUCCGGGCUGCCAUCACCUCAUUCCCAUUCAGCUGCGCCUCAGCCCUUUCUUCCGGCCAGCAACCUCUGCCAUCUCGUUGCUUCGCCCUCAUCUUAGCCACCUCUCUGUACUCCUCCAUUCCCGGCUGCCAUCACCUCCUUCCCAUUCAGCUGCGCCUCAGCCCAUUCUUCCGGCCAGCAACCUCUGCCAUCUCGUUGCUUCGCCCUCAUCUCAGCCACCUCUCUAUACUUCUCUAUUCCCGGCUGCCAUCACCUCCUUCCCGUUCAGCUGCGCCUCAGCCCUUUCUUCCGGCCAGCGACCUCUGCCAUCUCGUUGCUUCGCCCUCAUCUCAGCCACCUCUCUGUACUCCUCCAUUCCCGGCUGCCAUCACCUCCUUCCCAUUCAGCUGCGCCUCAGCCCUUUCUUCCGGCCAGCAACCCCUGCCAUCUCGUUGCUGCUCCUCUCAGCCACCAGCUGCUCUCUCCGCGACCACGCGCGACCCCAUUCUCUCUUCUGCAACCUGCAACUCAUACACCCAUGCGCUACUCGCUCUCUAAAAAAAACCCAAUAGCGAGUCUCUCUCUCUUCGCCUCCGACCUGCAACCAACCGCGUUCUCUCUCUCUGCCACCUUCUUUCCUCCUCUUUCCUCACCAUCGCCCUCGCCUUCAACCAGGCAACAGCCUCUGUUGCUGCCUGUGACCAAGCUCCAACCUUGCUAAGCCACCUCCGCCUCUUUCGCUCUCCAGCCCCUCUCGAUCAUCUUUCCUUCGUCCCCACGCUCCUCUCUGCAAACUUCUAUUUUCUCUAUCUCUAAAAACCCACAAUACAAAACACCCGAUUUGUUUUUUUUCAUCUCUUUCUUUUCGUUUUAAGUUUUCGUUGAUUUCGUCCACCCCCUUUACUUCAUCCAACCUCAAGUCCCCUUGUCUCUCUUAAGCAACCUUACCCUUUUGUUUAUUAGUUAACUUUAUACCCUCUCGUUCAAACAAAAGAAACCCAUUACCCCAAGCCUCUCUCUGUCAACUAAUCUUUUUUUUAUUAUCUAACAUUACCCUCCCUCAUUCACACAACAAUUCAAUGCAUAGCCCUCUGUCUCUCUAAACCAAAAGUACUUUCUUAUUUUAUUAUUAUCUUAUCCCUCCUAUCCUCUUCUAAAACAUUCGUCAUAUUCCAUCUUAUUUCUAAUUACCCCUCUUUCUUUAUCCAAACAUUAUUCUCCUUUAUUCACAUAAUACUCAAUAACCUAGUAAUAAAACCCCCCUUCUCCCUUGAUCAAUUAAACCUUUUAUUAUUAUUUUAUUUUUUAACCUCAUCCAUUUUUAUAAUCUUAGCUUAUCUUAAUCCUAUUUCUUCUACUCCAUUCAUUUUAUCUUAUUCUCCCCAAUCCUAUUUUAUUUCAUUUACUUUAUUGAUUUUAUCUUAUUCCAUUUUAAUUACUUAUUUUAUUUUAUUUUAUUCACCUCUUUUAUUUUAUUUUCCCCAUCUUAUUUUAUUUCAUUUUCUUUUAUCCCUUUUAUUUUAUUUUCCUUUACUUCAUUUUAUCAUCCUAACUCCAUCUUCUAAUCUUAUUUUAUUUUAAUUCAUCACUCUCAUUUUCAUUUCACUUUGUUUUCCAUCAUUCUUAUUUCAUCAUCACUUUUAUUUCACCUUCGUCUUUUCUAGAAGACCUAGCGACAAUCGAGCUAAUCUUCACUUCCUCUCUUUCUCUCCAUUGCUUGUUUGACCAGAGGGCAGGCUGAGCCUUGAGCCAUCGUGCCAGUCUUGUCGUCGAGCAGUAUUGCCGCUGUGCCGGUCUGAGUUAUCGUGCUUAUCUUGCUGCCGCGUCAGACUAGCCGUUGUGCCAGACUAGCUGUCGUGCCAAUCUUGUCGUCGAGCAGUAUUGCUGUCGUGCCGGUCUGAGUUAUCGUGCCCGUCUUGCUGCCAUGACAGACUAGCCAUCAUGUCAGACUAGUUGAUGCUGGUUCUGCCAUCGUGCCAGUCUGAGUUACCGUGCCCGUCUCGCUACCACGUCAAAUCAGUCACUGUACUGGUCUAACUACUGUGCCAGCCUAGCCGCCUAGUCGAACUUCUUCUCUCAUUUUCACUUCUUCUAUCUCUUUAUAACAUGGCUGGGUCCUAUGACCCACACCUCUGUAUUUUUUAUGUGUGUGUGUUUGCAGGAAAAGAGAAACAGGUCAAGGGAGGCGAUUACAAACCGACCGCAGGCCAGGGGGCAUUCCAACGUGAUCUAAGAGGGUGCCCAGGCGAGAUAACCCAAGUGUGUCAUGGACCCAAAUGAG